rnacentral:tRNA from 1 species
UGCCCAAUGCGGGAAUUGAACCCGCGUCGUAGUGGUCGAAAACCAACGACUUAGACCAUCCUUCCACCGAC